GAUGAACGCUGGCGGCGUGCCUAAUACAUGCAAGUCGAACGCGCAGCGAGAGGUGCUUGCACCUUUCAAGCGAGUGGCGAACGGGUGAGUAACACGUGGAUAACCUGCCUCAAGGCUGGGGAUAACAUUUGGAAACAGAUGCUAAUACCGAAUAAAACUUAGUAUCGCAUGAUAUCAAGUUAAAAGGCGCUACGGCGCCACCUAGAGAUGGAUCCGCGGUGCAUUAGUUAGUUGGUGGGGUAAAGGCUUACCAAGACAAUGAUGCAUAGCCGGGUUGAGAGACUGAUCGGCCACAUUGGGACUGAGACACGGCCCAAACUCCUACGGGAGGCUGCAGUAGGGAAUCUUCCACAAUGGGCGCAAGCCUGAUGGAGCAACGCCGCGUGUGUGAUGAAGGCUUUCGGGUCGUAAAGCACUGUUGUAUGGGAAGAAAUGCUAAAAUAGGGAAUGAUUUUAGUUUGACGGUACCAUACCAGAAAGGGACGGCUAAAUACGUGCCAGCAGCCGCAGUAA
rnacentral:rRNA from 1 species